AGGAUCAUUACACAUUCGGGGCGCUUCGGCGCUCCUUAUACACCCACCCUCUGCCUACGUGUACCUCUAUAGCUUCCUCGGCGGGCUCGCCCGCCGCCAGGAACCCACGAAACCCCUUGCAUUAUACGCGAAAACUUCUGAUAACAAACCUAAAUAAUCACAACUUUCAACAAUGGAUCUCUUGGUUCUGGCAUCGAUGAAGAACGCAGCGAAAUGCGAUAAGUAGUGUGAAUUGCAGAAUUCAGUGAAUCAUCGAAUCUUUGAACGCACAUUGCGGCCAUAGGUAUUCCUUUGGCCAUGCCUGUUCGAGCGUCAUUUACACCCUCAAGCCUAGCUUGGUGUUGGGCGUCUGUCCCGCCGUUUUCGCGCGCGGACUCGCCUCAAAGUCAUUGGCGGCGGUCGUGCCGGCCCCCUCGCGCAGCACAUUUGCGCUUCUCGGAGGCCCGGCGGAUCCGCGCUCCAGCAAGACCUUUCACGACUUGACCUCGGAUCAGGUAGGGAUACCCGCUGAACUUAAGCAUA
rnacentral:rRNA from 1 species